UGUUUCUUCUUUCUAUGCCUUUUCUGAUACUGUUUACUCUAUACAGAAUAUUAUCUCAAGGUGCCCAUGCCCUCACACACAAAUUUUGAUCUAGUCAACUGAUACUCAUUCUAAAAGUCUCCAAUAAACAUGGCUUCUUAAAAGCCUUUUCUGUCUCUCCCUCCCCUAUACCAACUAAGACUAAGAUGGUCCCUUCCUGGGGUCCUGUAACACUCUAUACACACUUCUGAAAUACAAAUAUCACUCCAAUUGUUGACUUACUUUUCCCACUAGACUACACUCCUUGAAAGAAAUAUGUCUUAUGUAAUUGAUUACUUCUAGUACUUCAUUCUUUGCUUGGCACAUAUUAGAUAUUUGACAAAUGUUUGUUGAAUGAAUGGAGAGACAGAUUCUUUUUUCUUAUUUUUUUAAAUUAAUAGAUUUAUUAUUUAGAGCAUUUUUUUUUGGUUUACAGAAAAACUGAACAGAAAGUACAAAGUUCUCAUAUAAUUGGCAAAACCUGGAAGUAACCAAGAUGUCCUUCAGUAGGUGGAUGAUACAUAAACUGCGGUACAUCAGACAAUGGACAAUUAUUUAGCAAUAAAAAGAAAUGAGCUGGCCCCUCACCCCAUGUGCAGACCCCAUCAUUGGAAGGCCUGGUGCCCACACCGUAUCAAAGAAAAAAGGACUGAGUGCAGAAGAAAAGAGAGCCUGCAUGAUGGAAACAUUUUUUAAAACAAAAGAUGUAUUUCAAUUAAAAGAAAGACAUGGAGAGGACUGCUCCCAAAGAGAAAGGCAUUACUGCUGUGUUAGUAAAAGAAAAAAGUCCUUCAAAGUUUAGUUGAUAAUGAUAUGGUUGACUGUGAGAGAACUGGAACUUCUAAUUAUUAUCAGUCUUUUCCAAGUAAAAUUCUUCAUGCAAGAACGUAUAAAUUGGAGGUUCUGAAAUCUCAGUUGUUUCAGGGAAGCCAAAAGCAUGCAAACUUACAGAAAAGCAUCAGAAAAACUAAAAUUGGCCAACAUGAGAUGAAGGAGUGAACCGUGUUAGCCAAAGAGCAUUCUUCACUCUUGGAUCAAAGGCAGAAGUUGAAAAAUGCAAAUAAUGUGACCCGCAAGUUGUUGAAGAAAUACAUCAGGCAAAUAAAGUACUUGCUAACAGAUAGACUGAUAACAUAUUUGCAAUAAAAUCUUGGGCCAAAAGAAAAUUUGGGUUUGAAGAAAAUAAAAUUGAUAAAACUUUCGGAAUUCCAGAAGACUCUGACUACAUAGAUUAAAAUAUACCAGGGUGGUAAAGAAUCUACGAGCUCGCAAAUAUGUAAAUUUUUAAAUAUUAUCCAACUAGGCUGGGCACAGUGGCUCAUGCCUGUAAUCCCAGCACUUUGGGAGGCCGAGGCGGGCAGAUAACUUGAGGUCAGGAGUUCGAGACCAGUCUGACCAACGUGGUGAAACCCCAUCUCUACCAAACAUACAAAAAUUAGCCAGGUGUGGUGGCACAUGCCUGUAGUCCUAGCUACUCGGGAGGCUGAGGUAGGAUAAUCACUUAAACCUGCGAGGCAGAGGUUGCAGUGAGCUGAGAUCACGCCACUGCACUCCAGCCUGGGCAACACAGCGAGACUCUGUCUCAAAAAAAAAAAUUAAAAAUUUUAAAAAUCUUAUCCAACUAAAUGUACUGAACUGUCUUUUACCUGUAACAGUGUUUAUCAUUUUAUUAAAGUAUAAAAUGUAAAAAAGAGAAAGAAAUGAACCAUCAAGCCAUGAAAAGAUGUAGAGAAAUCUUAAAUGUGUAUUCCUUUUGUAGUCAUUUUAAGAUUUUAGAAAAUUAUUUGUCAGACAUACCCUACCUGAUUAAAUGUGUAUUCCUAAGUGAAAGAAGCCAAUCUGAAAAGGCUACAUACAUACUGUGGAAUUCCAACUACAUAAUAUUCUAGAAAAGACAAUGGUAAAAACAUCUGUGGUUGCUAAGGGUUGGAGGGAUGAACAGGUGGAGCACCGAGGAUUUUUAGGGCAGUGAAACUACUCUGAUUGAUAACAUAAUGGUGAACACAUGCCAUUAUACACUUGUCAAAACCCAAAGAAUGUACAUCAAGAGUAAACCCUAAUGUAAACUAAGGGCUUCAGGAGAUAAUGAUGUGUCAGUGUAGGUUUGUCAAUUGUAACAUAUGUACCACUCUGGUGAGGGAUGUUGAUAGUGGAGGAGGCUGUACAUGUGUGGGGCAGAGGGGUAUAUGACAAUGCUCUGCUUAAUUUUGCCGCAAAUUUUAAAUUGCUCUAAAAAUUAAAGUAUAUUUUUUAAAAUAUGAAAGAGCUAAACAUACAUCUCAAGAAGAAGAAAAGGAACAGAAAAACAAACAAAAACCCCCAAAACCCAAGAAGUAGAAGGAAAGAAAUAAUAAAGAUAGAAACUAAUGAAACAGAACAUAACUUAAAAUAAAAAUCAACAGAACUAAAACUUUGUUCCUUUGAAAAGUUCUAAGAAGAAACUGAAAAGGUGAAUAGUUUCUAUACCUAAAAACUACAGAAGGAAGAAGUAUCAGGGAGGCAGGCAUGGUCAAUAGUAUAUAAUGCCAUAACAAAGUAAAGUAAAAUUCAUAUUGAAAACUGCCCAGUGGGGUGGUUCCCAUCUAUAAUCUCAACACUUUGGGAGGCCAAGGCAGGAAGACUGCUUGAGGCCAGGAGUUUGAGACCAGCCUGGGCAAUAUAGCAAGACCCUGUUUCUUAAAAAAAGGAAAAGAAAACUGCCCAAUCUAACAAUGAGGACAUCACUGAUAUCUUGGGCAAGAAUAAUUUAAGUGGAAUGGAAUGAAGUAGAACAAGUUUCUAAAAGGAAAAAAAAAUCCCGGAUGUGUUGACAUUAAUGCUGACCUAUAUCUGCAAGAAGCUAGAUUUGAUUUAUCUUUAUCUUUGCACAGUGCCUCACAUAUCGCUGCUUGCAACACUAUUUGCUGAAUUAAUUCAGUUGGAUGGAAAAGAAAGGACCACACAUAAAGGGCUUUAAAUGCUUGACAGUAUUGAGACUUAAAUGAAGAAGUUUUAAGAUUUCUAAACAGAUAUACAGUCUGAUGUUUAAAGAAGAUUAAUCUGGAUGUUAGCUUAAGACUUUUAAAGGUAAUACUGAGGAAAGGGAGACUAGUUAGGAAGUUGUUGCAGCAAUCUAGGCCCUUCUGGAUUAGGAUAGGCCAACAGCAGUGAAGAUAAAGGGUGAAAUUUGAGAGACAUUAUGAAAGUAAACUUCUUAGGAUUUGUCAACAAAUGGAUAUGAAAGUUAGAAGAAAAAGAUGUUA
rnacentral:lncRNA from 1 species